CCCCGGUUCCGCCCCGCCCCCCGGUUCCGAGCCGGAGCUGAUGGUGACGCCGCGUCCCCAUGGAGACCGCGCGGAGGGAGAAAUGACACACUGGACCUGAAACACAUGGACGGAGUUCGGUAGCGGACCGGCCGCGGAGACCCAGGCAGUGCCCAGCUGAUUAGUCCUCAGCUGUGAUCCAGGAAGUAUACCUGGGGAAGUUGCCUACAGUAAAGCAGUGAAACCCGCAGCGUGUGAAGGGCAAGAUGGAUUCAGUCAAGUAUCAGGAACAUCUAGGAGAAACCGUCAUGCCUUCUGUGAGAAACUGAAGCUUGGGCAUCAAUAGACCUUCCAACAGGAUAAUUAUCCCAAGUAGAGACCGACCGAUAUGGGUUUUUCUAAGGCCGAUGCCGAUACCGAUC
rnacentral:lncRNA from 1 species